UUGAACGCUGGCGGCAUGCCUUACACAUGCAAGUCGCACGGCAGCACGGGUGCUUGCACCUGGUGGCGAGUGGCGAACGGGUGAGUAAUACAUCGGAACAUGUCCUGUAGUGGGGGAUAGCCCGGCGAAAGCCGGAUUAAUACCGCAUACGAUCUACGGAUGAAAGCGAGGGACCUUCGGGCCUCGCGCUAUAGGGUUGGCCGAUGGCUGAUUAGCUAGUUGGUGGGGUAAAGGCCUACCAAGGCGACGAUCAGUAGCUGGUCUGAGAGGACGACCAGCCACACUGGGACUGAGACACGGCCCAGACUCCUACGGGAGGCAGCAGUGGGGAAUUUUGGACAAUGGGCGAAAGCCUGAUCCAGCAAUGCCGCGUGUGUGAAGAAGGCCUUCGGGUUGUAAAGCACUUUUGUCCGGAAAGAAAUCCUUGGCCCUAAUACGGUCGGGGGAUGACGGUACCGGAAGAAUAAGCACCGGCUAACUACGUG
rnacentral:rRNA from 1 species